GUGUAGGUAACAGCUGAUUGAUAGCAUGAAAUGUUUCAAUGCUUCCAGCGCGAAAGAGAGAAACCGUUAGGAGAACGAAACAACCAAUCAGCGCUCUCGUCCACAACUGUCAGAUAGGUUCCUGGCAAAUCAUCCUAUCCGGCAAUGUAAAUAAUAUUUUGCAGAGUACGCAUAGAACUCUUCGUGUUUUGAAAAUUGUGGUUGUUUUUUUUUUUUUGCUUUUUGCCGUUUUUAAGUGUUUUAAUGUUGUAAAGCUGAAUAACUUGUGUUAAGAUCUCGUCGGAAAACUACUUAGCUUGUCCAAAUCUCGGUCAACUGUUUACAAAUCCAUGACGCAACAAUAAGGAUGAUUUUGGGCGGGUUCGCGGCCACGCAAUGCAUCAAGUCGAUUUAAAUUUUCCAAACAGGGAGACGAUUACGACUUGGCAAAAAAUUACCCGGACGGUAGCCAGCAACGAGCGGAAAGCCUAGAACAAGAUGACCAUCAACAAGUGCCGUCAACAGCCACAGGUCGUGAUGUUGCUGUUCAUCUGAUGCUGAUCUUUAACAUGGACUUGAAAAAUCUAUGUACUAACUGCUUCAAGUCUGAAUGGUCAUGACCGAGUACACCGAGCGGAAGAAGAUGUCGAGCGACCGGAUAUGCAUGGCCAUUCCAAGCCGGUGAACAGGGUCAAGGUCGUCGGUCUGGCAAGUCCGUAUCAUUUUGCUCGAUCCGGUCGAUUGUUCGACUGCCAAAAGCAUCGAGGAGGGAAUCGUCUCCACCGCGACAUGCUUAAACCUGAACGGCGUCCUGUUGAAGACGGUGCUGGAUCUAGUUUCCCACACUGGUAACCUGUUACGGAUCAACA